CGGCAUUUUCUGGAGAACGGGGUUCACAUUGGCGAUCGCGAGUUAUCGUCAGGCGACUGGGGUUCAAACUGGAGAAUGGGGUUCAUUAUUUGGCAAACAGGAGAGCGGGGUUCAAAUGCGGUGAUCCGAGGAUCAUUUGCGCAAGAGAAAAUUUCGGGGUUCAAGAAAAUGAAAAAAAUAGAGAAAAUUUCGGGGUUCAAGAAAAAAAAAAGAGAAGAAG
rnacentral:lncRNA from 1 species